AGUUUGACUGGGGCGGUCUCCUCCUAAAGAGUAACGGAGGAGCACGAAGGUUGGCUAAUCCUGGUCGGACAUCAGGAGGUUAGUGCAAUGGCAUAAGCCAGCUUGACUGCGAGCGUGACGGCGCGAGCAGGUGCGAAAGCAGGUCAUAGUGAUCCGGUGGUUCUGAAUGGAAGGGCCAUCGCUCAACGGAUAAAAGGUACUCCGGGGAUAACAGGCUGAUACCGCCCAAGAGUUCAUAUCGACGGCGGUGUUUGGCACCUCGAUGUCGGCUCAUCACAUCCUGGGGCUGAAGUAGGUCCCAAGGGUAUGGCUGUUCGCCAUUUAAAGUGGUACGCGAGCUGGGUUUAGAACGUCGUGAGACAGUUCGGUCCCUAUCUGCCGUGGGCGCUGGAGAACUGAGGGGGGCUGCUCCUAGUACGAGAGGACCGGAGUGGACGCAUCACUGGUGUUCGGGUUGUCAUGCCAAUGGCACUGCCCGGUAGCUAAAUGCGGAAGAGAUAAGUGCUGAAAGCAUCUAAGCACGAAACUUGCCCCGAGAUGAGUUCUCCCUGACCCUUUAAGGGUCCUGAAGGAACGUUGAAGACGACGACGUUGAUAGGCCGGGUGUGUAAGCGCAGCGAUGCGUUGAGCUAACCGGUACUAAUGAACCGUGAGG
rnacentral:rRNA from 1 species